UUUCCAUAUAUAGAAUUGCUAUACCUAAAAAUAAACCUAAGAAGGAAAUUGACCAUCAGAUAAUAAAAAAAACUGAUAAAGAAUCAGUAUAAAUACCGCCGUCGAUUUAGAUUCUUCAUAAACAGAUUGGUGAUUUGCUAAUAACUGUACAUCGCUUGUUUGACUUUCUGUCAUAAAUCUUUGUUAUUACACUACUUUAACCCAGUAAUAUAUUAUACAAAAUGCAGCGCCCAGUGAACAACCCAAUGAUGACAUGUGGCGUCCCACACAGAAGAUAUUCAGCGCCAUUAGAGAAUACAUAUGGACCUCGUCGUGCCUACAACAUGGGACCAUGUUUUGGCCCACCGGCAGCGCCUCCGCAGUUCCAGCCUAGUGCUUGCUUCAUGUCUGUCUCAACUCUCAGGACUGCAUACCCAAAUCAAAUGACUCCGCAAACCCGCCAAGACCCAUGCUUCAAGUAAAAAGUUACAAAAUAUGAUGAUAGCGCAUUGGAAUCUCAUAUAAUGUUAACGAUUUAAUUAUAAUAACCAUUUUCCUUUCGAAUUUUGGCGAUUGACAAUGGAUAAGAAUUAUAAUCGAAUCUUCUAAAUUUUAAGUUUAAAAUUUAUGAUAUGAUUCGACUAAUCCUUAAUUGGUGAUUUGUUUUAAUAUAAGUGUUUUGAUUUUAGAAAUUAAAUUAUAACUAGAUAAUGUUGCAAUAAAUGCAUAUUGUAUUUGUAAUAUUUAAUCAUCAUAUUUUUUCUUCAAAAACAUUCGAAUAUUAUUCAAGUCACGUUUUUCUUAUUAAAUAAUUAUAGGAAUAUUUUUGUAAAUAACAAUAAUAAAAUUAGUCUUAAAAUAU